UGUGCCGUUUGGGCAUGGCCGGUGAAAAGGGAAUCGGGUGAAAGUCCCGGACGGUACCAGCCGCUGUAUGUACCAAAGCUUUAUAUCCAUAGGUGAAAGCCGGUCAUUGGGAAACCGAGAAGGCGGAGAUAAGGCGCGAAGAUAAGAUUUUCAUAUGGUAUAAGUCAGAAGACCUGCUUUGAUGU
rnacentral:ncRNA from 1 species